CCAUCUUGUGUGCUGGAAGCUUCGUGGAAGACGAGGCACCGCGCUACGGUUGAUCUCCUCUGAAUUUGAUUAAUGACCUCUGCACUUAGACUUGAAAUGAUGAAUUAAAGACCAGAAAAACACUUCAAAGAAGAGUCCAUUCUACCAGCACCAGAUGUGUUCACAGGCGUGUGUUCAGGCAGAUGCUGCGCUACACCUCGUGAACUGCAAAGCAGCGUAAGGCACCUGGAGCUUCUAGAUCCAGUUCUGGAGAGAUGUUCAGGAAUCCCACAUCUAGACUGUGAUGAUCUACAGGCUCUCAGAAGUGCAGAUGCAGAACUACAAGUG